rnacentral:rRNA from 1 species
GAGUUUGAUCCUGGCUCAGAUUGAACGCUGGCGGCGUGCCUAACACAUGCAAGUCGUACGAGGACACCCCUUCGGGGGUGAGCCGAGUGGCGGACGGGUGCGUAACACGUGACCAACCUGCCUUCGAGAGGGGGAUAACCUGGGGAAACUCGGGCUAAUACCGCAUGAAGUGUCGUGCUCGCAUGGGCGUGACAUUAAAGGGAGGCCUCUACUUGUAAGCUUUCGCUCGAAGAGGGGGUCGCGGCGUAUCAGCUAGUUGGUAGGGUAACGGCCUACCAAGGCGACGACGCGUAGCGGGUCUGAGAGGACGACCCGCCACAUUGGGACUGAGAUACGGCCCAGACUCCUACGGGAGGCAGCAGUGGGGAAUAUUGCGCAAUGGCCGAAAGGCUGACGCAGCGACGCCGCGUGUGGGAGGAAGCCCUUCGGGGUGUAAACCACUGUCGAGAGGGACGAAUCCCGGACGGGCAAAUAGCCCGGACGGUUGACGGUACCUCUAAAGGAAGCACCGGCUAACUCCGUGCCAGCAGCCGCGGUAAGACGGAGGGUGCGAGCGUUGUUCGGAAUUACUGGGCGUAAAGCGCGGGCAGGUGGUUCUUUAAGUCCUUUGUGAAAUUCCGGAGCUCAACUCCGGAUGUGCAUAGGAUACUGGAGGACUGGAGACUGGUAGAGGCGAGCGGAAUUCCUGGUGUAGCGGUGGAAUGCGUAGAUAUCAGGAAGAACACCGGUGGCGAAGGCGGCUCGCUGGGCCAGUUCUGACACUCAUCCGCGAAAGCGUGGGGAGCAAACAGGAUUAGAUA